rnacentral:tRNA from 1 species
AUUACUUUGGCAGAUUAGUGCAUUAAAUUUAGAAUUUAAGAUAAAAUAUAUAAUGUUAUAUAAGUAAUA